AUUGAACGCUGGCGGCAGGCCUAACGCAUGCAAGUCGAGCGGCAGCGGGAAAGUAGCUUGCUACUUUUGCCGGCGAGCGGCGGACGGGUGAGUAAUGCCUGGGAAAUUGCCCAGUCGAGGGGGAUAACAGUUGGAAACGACUGCUAAUACCGCAUACGCCCUACGGGGGAAAGCAGGGGACCUUCGGGCCUUGCGCGAUUGGAUAUGCCCAGGUGGGAUUAGCUAGUUGGUGAGGUAAUGGCUCACCAAGGCGACGAUCCCUAGCUGGUCUGCGAGGAUGAUCAGCCACACUGGAACUGAGACACGGUCCAGACUCCUACGGGAGGCAGCAGUGGGGAAUAUUGCACAAUGGGGGAAACCCUGAUGCAGCCAUGCCGCGUGUGUGAAGAAGGCCUUCGGGUUGUAAAGCACUUUCAGCGAGGAGGAAAGGUUGAUGCCUAAUACGUAUCAACUGUGACGUUACUCGCAGAAGAAGCACCGGCUAACUCCGUGCCAGCCGCCGCGGUAACAC
rnacentral:rRNA from 1 species